UGGAGGCAUCCGCCGUUGAAAUCUUCCUGGUCGAUGGUGAUGUUUGGAUGCCAUCGAUAAGGUGAUUUCCACCUCCGUGGAGAACAUCUAUGACCCCAGGAAGGUUUAACGGUAGGCGUUCAAUCCUCACUCUUGUGGCCCACUUGGGUUUGGGAUCUUAAUAUUGUACAUCAUGUCCUAAAAUGCGCUGAUAAAGCUGAUGAACGGAGGGGAUAUAACACAAGCAUCGUAGUUGGCUCGUUACAGCCUUACAGGCAAAGUCGCGUCUUUCAGUUUUUGAAGUGGAAGAUUUCCAAAUGGAUCUCCCUCAAUCAUGCCUCGAUAUGAACUGUUCCCUUGCAUUUUCUGCCAGAAAGGGCACCCACACAGCGCCUCCAACCCAAUGGACCGCUCCAUUCUUUCAUACGUGGGCCAUAUUGGCAUGUCUGCUGGCAUGUAGAUGGACUUCAGCUAUACAUGCUGGUGGAAGUGAAGCUUCUUGCUCAGUGGAGGGAUCUUCCGGUGCAUUUUUAGUUAUCUUUGCAUCCCAUGGAGUUGGUCGUGGGCUUUGAAAUUUUCGAGGGAAUAUAUUCACAUCCUGGAUUGAGGACACCGGCCGAGUGUGUCUGUGGAAAGUUGCUCGAGCAUCCGAUUGGCACGUUCAUCAGCACAGAGUGGGCCAGCUACAAAAGAAAGUCGACUCUCUUUCGCGGCCACACUCACAAUUUAAGAGUUGGGAGCUGGCUUAUGAUGAGUGGGUCAUCUUGGAAUUCAAAUGAGAGUAAUCAUUGCGUCGACAUCUUGUCGGCCAUGUGCGUAGAACGCGGUGGCUUUCAUUCGGGUCCUUGCCUUUGAGACACUGCCAGUGGCGUCAUCGUUACCCUAUCUCAAAUAAACCACUUCUUGGGCUCGCGCAUGGACAUUAUUCGGUGGCCACUAUCAAUGCUUUCUUGGAGUUUUCUUGAUGCUGACCCGUUGUCGUCUAAUCGCCAAACUGGGGCCAGAUUAGCUGAUGAAAGCAACGCGAUUAGUGUCCAGCCUUUUCUAUAACUAAUAGUAUAAUGUAAGUAGCUGUCUCACCCAGUAGCAGUUCUCAUUAGCAGCCAAACAGAUACUUAUCAAGAUCUUAAAUUGCUAUUUAUUAAUUUGGUGGACUCUGUUUAGUCUGUC